UACGUAGGGUGCGAGCGUUGUCCGGAAUUAUUGGGCGUAAAGAGCUCGUAGGCGGUGUGUCACGUCGGCCGUGAAAACCUGCAGCUUAACUGUGGGCGUGCGGUCGAUACGGGCAUCACUGGAGUUCGGCAGGGGAGACUGGAAUUCCUGGUGUAGCGGUGAAAUGCGUAGAUAUCUGGAGGAACACCGGUGGCGAAGGCGGCAUCCUGGACCGGCAUUGACGCUGAGGAGCGAAAGCAUGGGGAGCGAACAGG
rnacentral:rRNA from 1 species